GUGAAUCAUCGAAUCUUUGAACGCAAAUUGCACUCUCCUCGGAGAGUAUGCCUGUUUGAGGGUCAGCCUAUAAAAAAUCGACAUCGUUGCUGUUUCGCGUUGGCUUUCGUCGGUAAUGUGGUCAUUUUAAAUCCUUUUGAUUUAAGCGACUUAAAAUUUUCUUUUGGUUCCAUGAACGUUUCUAAGAUCUAUUUCUUUACACGUUUAAGUUAUCUAUUGUUACUAGACUUGACCUUCAAUUCGGAUCGCGUCCUUAAUCUUUCAUUAACUUGCUUCAGUCCGGU
rnacentral:misc_RNA from 1 species